rnacentral:sRNA from 1 species
UACUCGAUGGGCCUCUCCUGAUUUCCGU